UACGUAGGGGGCAAGCGUUGUCCGGAUUUAUUGGGCGUAAAGAGCGUGUAGGCGGCCACACAGGUCAGCUGUGAAAACUCGAGGCUCAACCUCGAGACGUCGGUUGAAACCGUAUGGCUAGAGCCCGGAAGAGGAGAGUGGAAUUCCCGGUGUAGCGGUGAAAUGCGCAGAUAUCGGGAAGAACACCCGUGGCGAAGGCGGCUCUCUGGGACGGUACUGACGCUGAGACGCGAAAGCGUGGGGAGCGAACAGG
rnacentral:rRNA from 1 species